rnacentral:rRNA from 1 species
CUCAAAGGUUCCCUCAGAAUGGUUGGAAAUCAUUCAUAGAGUGUAAAGGCAUAAGGGAGCUUGACUGCGAGACCUACAAGUCGAGCAGGGUCGAAAGACGGACUUAGUGAUCCGGUGGUUCCGCAUGGAAGGGCCAUCGCUCAACGGAUAAAAGCUACCCCGGGGAUAACAGGCUUAUCUCCCCCAAGAGUUCACAUCGACGGGGAGGUUUGGCACCUCGAUGUCGGCUCAUCGCAUCCUGGGGCUGUAGUCGGUCCCAAGGGUUGGGCUGUUCGCCCAUUAAAGCGGUACGCGAGCUGGGUUCAGAACGUCGUGAGACAGUUCGGUCCCUAUCCGUCGUGGGCGUAGGAAAUUUGAGAGGAGCUGUCCUUAGUACGAGAGGACCGGGAUGGACAUACCUCUGGUGUACCAGUUGUCGUGCCAACGGCAUAGCUGGGUAGCUAUGUGUGGACGGGAUAAGUGCUGAAAGCAUCUAAGCAUGAAGCCCCCCUCAAGAUGAGAUUUCCCAACUUCGGUUAUAAGAUCCCUCAAAGAUGAUGAGGUUAAUAGGUUCGAGGUGGAAGCAUGGUGACAUGUGGAGCUGACGAAUACUAA